UACGGAGGGAGCUAGCGUUGUUCGGAAUUACUGGGCGUAAAGCGCACGUAGGCGGCGAUUCAAGUCGGGGGUGAAAGCCUGUGGCUCAACCACAGAAUUGCCUUCGAUACUGUUUGGCUUGAGUAUGGUAGAGGUUGGUGGAACUGCGAGUGUAGAGGUGAAAUUCGUAGAUAUUCGCAAGAACACCGGUGGCGAAGGCGGCCAACUGGACCAUUACUGACGCUGAGGCGCGAAAGCGUGGGGAGCAAACAGG
rnacentral:rRNA from 1 species